AAACAGCCCACUCCUGCACUUUAGCAACUCUCCACCUUUCUAAGAGGAUACCUCUGUCAUCUGUUAUUUUCCAACUGACUUGCUCUAAAGUCCAUCCAGAGAGUUAAGAGGUCCAGAGGGAGGAAACACAAGCACAGGAACUAUCACUAGGAAGUUUAUGGAACUCACUUGCACCUGGAUGAAAUCCUGUGCCAUUAUGUUAAUCCCUUAAUUGAAGGUCAUAGCCAGAUGAGAAAAAUGAAACAGGAGACAUGCUUGGUCUAUUAGGAACUGGAUUUGUACUCCAAGAAUUUGAAACAAGAAUGCACUACCUCCCUAUGGAAUGAAGCUUCAGGUGCCUCCAAACCCAUGCCUGAGAAGAGAAUGCACACAAUCAUUUGAAUAUUACUGGAUGCCUCAUUCCUAACCAGAGAAAUAUUCCAUCUUUUCUGAAGAGAUGCUUUGCCAUUAUGUCCUGUAUUGGGUUGUAGUAGCUGGCCUCAUAUGUAUGUAUGUAUUGGCAUCAUAACUGCACAGGUUCUCUACUACUUAAGACUCCCUAGGAGCUGAACAAUGAUAACAGUGAAUCCAUGAAGCCAUCUAUACCAGGUAGUUAGCCUGGAAAGACAAUGUAAAUUUACCUCCGAUCUGUAUGUACCAGUUAAACUUUCAGUUAAAUUGAGGAAGUGAAGUGCUUGUGGUGCUUGUUUUCCUUCAUUGCCUUCUAGGACAUCCAACAUGUGAUGACUGCAAGAUGAAGAACAGACCUCUGACAUGACUACUGGCCUCAGAACAGUAGAGAGGCGUGGUGGGCCUGCAAGCUGCAGGGCUUUCACUGUCUUUUCCCCUUUUCACCUUCUCAAUUUCUAUUUAAAAGUUGCAUGGGAUUUUUUAAAGAAGUGCCCAAAUUAAUUAGCGCAAAUCACCACACAAAUCCUCUUGCCCAGUCAAAUGCCUAAGUGAAAUGGUGUAUUUUUACAAAUUCAGCAUAUUUAGAUGCUGUUUUGAAGACCCAGGCAGCACACACACUGAGUAGUUAGGACAAGCAAUUUUCUACAUUUAUUUUACUGGUUACCAGCCAGCCCAAACUGGUGGAAGACUGACAUUUCUUCCCAGUGCCUUGUGACAGUUUAUGUUCAUGCAGCAGUAGGUUUUAAGUGGGUAUCAGUAUCGAAACAGUCAAUCAGUAUCGUCAGUAAGUGGUGGCUUUACUGCAACUUGUCCAAGCAGAGAGACUAAGACCAUGGGAAUACGUUGAACUGCUUAGCCCUUAUCUCUUAAGUACCCAGCAUAGCUUGAGGGCUGGGCCAUGAUGGCAGCCCAGAAUUUGGGGGUUGAUAGGAAUAGCUGUGUUCCAAAAGCUCAUACCUCCUGGCUGGGCUAACGGUGCUGUGGGGGCCUCGGUGGCCUUACCCGCAGCAGGCCAGGAAUGAAGCUGGGAGCACGAUGGUGUGCCCAGCUCUGCUGCCACACCAGCGGUGAGCAAGAACAACUUGAUCAAAAGAGGCAAUGACAUUUAUAAGGAAGAAAAAAAAAAAAAAAAGUCAUGUACCUGGACGGUAGAACUGCAGAUGGCAGUGACAUUUAAGGGAAGACACGAACUAUGUCUUUCAAAACCUGAUAGUCAUUUGUAUAUGUGGGCAGGUCUGGCAAAGCAGGUAAACGUUGAGACUACUUGAAAACUACUUGUGAUUAAACUGAUAUUCCAGGCAAAAUCUACAGGGAAACAGGCACUUUUUUGAUUCAGAGGUUGCUAACAGCACAUGACUCUGGAACAAUUUAUGAAGUAAGAAUUAAAUAAAAAAGUGUCUGGACAAAGGAACCCCUAAAGCCUGCUCCUCUUAGAAUUAAUAGAGUAGGACCUCAGGCAAAGACAAAGCAGAGGACAAUUACUUCAGAUUCAAUAGGUGGUGUUUGCAGCUGUACAAUACAUUCGAUAACACUGUAUUAUUUGUUCUAGUUUCUGAAAAAUUUAGAGCUCAGGAAUAAAAUACAAAUGGUUAUAAAGAUGAGUAAUAUUAAAGUGAAAAGCUGUAAGUCAGCUGCGAGAUCAGCUUGUAGUCACAGAGAUGCACUUGUUUUCUGGCAUACAUGUCAUUUGCAGUGUUGUUUGUCUGGCAUUGGUUCCCAGUGGAUUGAAGAAACUAAUGUUUGAGUAACAGAAUAUAGGAUUUUAAAAAUCGUCCUUGUAGUAACUGAACAAAUAAGUGAAUGCUGUGAGCAGCAUGACUUCACCCUUUUGGACCAUUGUAAAAAAUAUUUCUCUAAAAUAAACUAUAAAUGCAAUAACACGAUGUGGGCAACAUGAACCACAAGACCAUUUGAAAAUCUAUCACAUUGAUUUUAGUAUCUUUUUGAACAUAUAUAUGUUUAACUAGACAAUAGAAUUAUCCAAAGUGUUACUAUAGUGUCACGGUCUUGUACAAAUUGUGCUCAUCAGAGUUUGAAUUUAGAGGUGAAAUGAGAAUGGAGGAGAAGGGAAAUUCCAGUCUGUGUUACAAAGUGCAUAGGCAAGCUAUUUUGAGGAAUUGCCUCAUACAUCUUUGACACAUGGCAAAAAAACCCUAAAGUUAUUUAACUUUUAUACUUUGACAAUGUUGUGGCUUAAGUUCUCACUUGUGCUAUCCCCUGUGAUUUGUUCAGGGGGAACAUUUUUCUUCCAGACAACUUCAGCAGGAAAAUACUCUUGCAUUUUCAUAGGAAAGUGCUAUAUUAAUUCUGGCUUAUUAAACUAUUCCAGUAGAGGAUUUCAUAGCAUCACAGAGAUGUGAAAUGUCAAACAUGUGCAUACUAUAUCCCAUCACUCUGCCAAUGCCUAACUACUCCCUGUGCUAUGCAAAAUGUGUUGUAACUCCAGGGCUUGCCAUAAUCUCAACUGAAUAUCUUUUUCUGGUGUUCAGUCUCCAUUUAUUUCUGCUUUAUGUUCUUGAACAUUGGGGAAGCUACACAGUGGUUGUGUGUAUGAUGGAGAUGGGAAGAGCCAGGGACAGAGCAUCCCCAACCUCCUCCUCCAGGACAGAAUCACCAAUUUCCGCUUUCUGUUGACUUGUAAAACUCCAAGUAAACCACAAAAAUGUCAAUAUGUUCAUUAUCACAGUAAUUGCUUUGUCUGGGAGAAAUAAUUCUUUUAAAUGUUAAUUUUGGUGGGAAAAAAUAUAUACAUUGGGUCAAGCCAGAUGUAAUUACUUCUCUUGACAAAAGAACCAAAAAAUUGGUUCAUCCAGUACACCUGUUUAAACUCUAACAUACUUAAAGAGAUGACUUAUUCUCCAGUGUAUCUUCCCAAGCAUUUUCUUGUAAUCAGUAUUUCUUUCUUUAUUCAAUCCUUCAUUGCCUGUGGAUGAAGAGAGAGAAGAUACCAGCACUUUGGAUCUAACUCAAGAUUUCUGUUAUUCUAGUGAAUAUCAGAUGAAAACAGCUAGUGGAAAUUUCAGUUCGAAGGAACUUUCAAUUUUGAAAAAGAAUUGAAUUUAAAUUGUUGCAGUUUGAAAAGGUAUAAUUAAUGUGUCUAUGAGCUGAAAGUUUCUCUGGCAGACUUAUUUGACAUUGAUUGACUAAUGCACAUCUUGGGGUACAUCAAAUUUAUUUUACUAAUUAGUGAAAAUGGAAACUAAAUUGAUGCGUUUUCAAGCAUAACAACAUAUCACUCUCUUGUUUCAGAAAAUAAAAUCUUUGGAAGCUGAGAUAUCUUCAACAGAGCUUUGUUGUGAGUUCUUUAUUUUUUGUGAAGAUCUAUUACUCUCAAGGACUGGCAGU